UACGGGGGGGGGCAAGCGUUGUUCGGAAUUACUGGGCGUAAAGGGCUCGUAGGCGGCCAACUAAGUCGGACGUGAAAUCCCUCGGCUCAACCGGGGAACUGCGUCCGAUACUGGAUGGCUUGAGUUCGGGAGAGGGAUGCGGAAUUCCAGGUGUAGCGGUGAAAUGCGUAGAUAUCUGGAGGAACACCGGUGGCGAAGGCGGCAUCCUGGACCGAUACUGACACUGAGGAGCGAAAGCCAGGGGAGCAAACGGG
rnacentral:rRNA from 1 species